AAUGCAUAUUAUUUCUUAUGUCUAUUAUAGGAGACUUAUCUUGAGGGGUUGUGAGUCCACUACUAGAAAUUAUCCCUAUGACAACGAACUUUUUGGCAAUGGUUCCUAAAGUAUUGUCAUAGAUGGUCUAUUGCAAUGGUUUCAAGUGUUGCUAAAAAAAUUAUUUUAGCACAAUAAUUUAUUACUGUAACCAUCACUUUUUCAAUUGAAAUAGGUGGUCAUAUCUAUAACACCCAAUUGGGAAAAAAAUCUAUUGGGUUGCUUAUUUUUAUUCCCUCUAUAAUAUUGGACAAGGCUUUCUAAAUAUUUAGAAACUGUUUCCAAAACCCUUUCUGUACUGCUCUCAAUCGAUUUACUCGCUCAAAAAAUUAAGAAAUCGAUUUGCUUUCUCCCUCCAACCACCACUGUACCUGUACGUGCUGCUCUGACCAUUUUGGAGCCUCUCCAACCAUUUGGAGUUGCUCCCACCAUCACUACUCCGAUGGUGCUCCGACCACCAUUUUGGAGCUAUUACCGGAAAUUCAAACCGAAGGACACUGCUUCUCCGACUUUAAUUUCAGCCCCUCUAUUGCUACAACCACCACUUCAAUUUUAGCUCUCAAAUUUGCACUUCAAUUUUUGAGAAAUUUUAGGAUUUCCUUCUUCAAUUUGUCGAUUUUAAGGUUAGUAUAUUCUUCUAAUUAAUGAUUUUGAUCUAAUUUUGUGAGUUUCUAUUUUAGGGUUUUCUUCUCUCACUUUGAUUGCUUACCAAAUAUUUGGCAAUGGGUUUAAAUUUUGACAUGCACUAAUAUUUGGAUGUGAAAGCCUUAUGAAUUUGCAAUAAAUGAUCAGGUUUAUGCUGAAGAUAUUUGAAUGUUGAUUUAUAGCCGAGUAUUGGGCUAUGUUUUCUAUUUUUGAUAGUUUACUGGUGCAAAUUUUUGCAUUUCUUAUCUUUACUAUAAAAAAUGAGUUAUAAACACUGGUGGGUUUGGACUGGUGACUAUUGUUCUCAUACUUCUAAUGUCUAAGGUUGUUCAUGAUAAAGACUUGCCUAUACUCUGACAUAAUUCUAUCUUCAUCUUGAUCUUCGCGAUGCUAACUAACAUUAUUGUAUUUAUGGCAAGUACUUUAAGAAUUUGUAUUUAUGUCAAGACUUACCAGCUAUUUGUUGGAUGCUACUGGAUUUUACUCUCUAGGACUCCAUGCUUUAGGUAUUCAUAUUUUUUGGGCUACAGGAACUGGUAUGUCUGUAGACUAUUUAUUCUUAGUAUCUCUCUGUAAUCAAGCCCUCUCAACAAGGUAAAACUUUUACAUCCUCUAUUCAAUUUGUAUCUUACUUUUCUUUUUAGUUUGUAGGUUCAAAAAGAAUGUCACUUUUUAUGUUUAAUAACUCGGUAACUCAAUAUUCCGUAUGAUAUUCUUAAGAUCACAAGAUUUAAGGUCAGUGUGAUACAUUAUACACCUUUUUGGUUUAAGAACACCGUAUUUAAAAGUCACCUUUUUGGUUUAAGAACACCGUAUUUAAAAGUCUCUCUUACUUUAUUAAACAUCAAGUUUAAUCAAAUUAAGACAUAUGAAAUGAAACAAGGAGAAGGUACUCUUUCUUUUACCCAAGAUUCUCCAUAUUUCUUUCAUUAUUACUAAUGUCCUACUAUUUUUUUAACUUGUGCAAGUGAAAAUACCUGGAUAGCCAAUGAACUUCUUUACUCCAUAAAAACUAUCUGCCAAACAAAGAGACCAGGGGUUUCAAACGCAAAGCCAAUUAUAGUUGAUCCAGGAUUGUACACAACUCAAAAGGCGGAUAUUUUUUGAAUUACACAAAGAAGAAGUGUGUCAACUGCUUUUAAGCUUUUCACUAGUAAGGACUGGGAACUAAUUAGAAUUCAAUGAUAUCAAUGUUGGGACACAGAAAUGCAAGCCAGAGGAGGAAGAUCAGGGAAACGUAUCACCAACUUUACAACAAGUCUCUUAUCGAUGAUAUCUUUUCUGAAUUUCUUGUUAUUUCAGGGCUUGAGGAUUUAUAUUUGGUCCACCAAUUGCUUUGGCGAUAUGGGCAAAGUUUGUCCCUUUGAGAAAACUAAAGAAAUUGCCAGGUGCAGGAGCAAAUUCACUUUAUGAAACCUCUGCAGAUCAAAUCACUGCAACCAAUAUUGCCAAAGAGUGUUUACUAGCAGCUUUGAAAGCAGACUCAAAAGCAGCUCACAUUUGGGAAAAAUCUAGAUAAUGCUUAUUACUUGAUGAGUGACCAUAAGAUUUCUGCUAAAUGCUUGGAAAAGGUGCUUCUUCUUCAAGCUUAAAACCUCUCUUUUAUCUAAUGUAUAAGUAAAUUACACUCUUUUGCUUUAAUGAGUAGGCAGGAAAAAUUGAACAUUAUUGUUUAGCAACAAGAUAUGCUAUUGGAGUUCACCGCAUCAGGGCUGCAGAGAGGUUGCAGAAUCCUAAAAGCAGCUCUCAUGGGCUGGUAGUGAGAUAGAGUUCAUCGCAUUUAAUGUAUAAGCUUGUUAUAUAUUUUGAAUUAUGAGAUUAUUAAUGAAUGAUUUUGUUUUGUGAUA